rnacentral:rRNA from 1 species
AGUGAACGCUGGCGGUAGACCUAACACAUGCAAGUCGAACGGCAGCACAGUAAGAGCUUGCUCUUACGGGUGGCGAGUGGCGGACGGGUGAGGAAUACAUCGGAAUCUACUUUUUCGUGGGGGAUAACGUAGGGAAACUUACGCUAAUACCGCAUACGACCUACGGGUGAAAGCAGGGGAUCUUCGGACCUUGCGCGAUUGAAUGAGCCGAUGUCGGAUUAGCUAGUUGGCGGGGUAAAGGCCCACCAAGGCGACGAUCCGUAGCUGGUCUGAGAGGAUGAUCAGCCACACUGGAACUGAGACACGGUCCAGACUCCUACGGGAGGCAGCAGUGGGGAAUAUUGGGCAAUGGGCGCAAGCCUGAUCCAGCCAUACCGCGUGAGUGAAGAAGGCCUUCGGGUUGUAAAGCCCUUUUGUUGGGAAAGAAAAGCAGCAGGUUAAUACCCCGCUGUUCUGACGGUACCCAAAGAAUAAGCACCGGCUAACUUCGUG